rnacentral:rRNA from 1 species
GACGAACGCUGGCGGCGUGCUUAACACAUGCAAGUCGAACGGUGAAGGGGUCUGCUUUUGUGGGCCCUGGAUGAGUGGCGAACGGGUGAGUAACACGUGAGUAACCUGCCCCCUUCUUCUGGAUAACCGCAUGAAAGUGUGGCUAAUACGGGAUAUUCUGGGCCUGUCGCAUGAUGGGUCUGGGAAAGAUUGCGCCUUUGGGUGUUUUUGGUGGGGGAUGGGCUCGCGGCCUAUCAGCUUGUUGGUGGGGUGAUGGCCUACCAAGGCGGUGACGGGUAGCCGGCCUGAGAGGGUGGACGGUCACACUGGGACUGAGACACGGCCCAGACUCCUACGGGAGGCAGCAGUGGGGAAUAUUGCACAAUGGGCGCAAGCCUGAUGCAGCGACGCCGCGUGAGGGAUGGAGGCCUUCGGGUUGUAAACCUCUUUCGCCAGUGAAGCAGGCCUGCUCCUUGUGGGUGGGUUGACGGUAGCUGGAUAAGAAGCGCCGGCUAACUACGUG